rnacentral:rRNA from 1 species
UACAGAGGUCUCAAGCGUUGUUCGGAUUCAUUGGGCGUAAAGGGUGCGUAGGCGGCGCGGUAAGUCGGGUGUGAAAUCUUGGAGCUUAACUCCGAAACUGCAUUCGAUACUGCCGUGCUUGAGGACUGGAGAGGAGACUGGAAUUUACGGUGUAGCAGUGAAAUGCGUAGAGAUCGUAAGGAAGACCAGUGGCGAAGGCGGGUCUCUGGACAGUUCCUGACACUGAGCACGAAGGCCAGGGGAGCAAACGGGG